rnacentral:rRNA from 1 species
AGGAGAGCGUUCUAUUUGCGUCGAAGGUAUACCGGUAAGGAGUGCUGGAGCGAAUAGAAGUGAGCAUGCAGGCAUGAGUAGCGAUAAUUAAUGUGAGAAUCAUUAACGCCGUAAACCCAAGGUUUCCUACGCGAUGCUCGUCAUCGUAGGGUUAGUCGGGUCCUAAGUCGAGUCCGAAAGGGGUAGACGAUGGCAAAUUGGUUAAUAUUCCAAUACCAACAUUAGUGUGCGAUGGAAGGACGCUUAGGGCUAAGGGGGCUAGCGGAUGGAAGUGCUAGUCUAAGGUCGUAGGAGGUUAUACAGGCAAAUCCGUAUAACAAUACUCCGAGAACUGAAAGGCUUUUUGAAGUCUUCGGAUGGAUAGAAGAACCCCUGAUGCCGUCGAGCCAAGAAAAGUUUCUAAGUUUAGCUAAUGUUGCCCGUACCGUAAACCGACACAGGUGGGUGGGAUGAGUAUUCUAAGGCGCGUGGAAGAACUCUCUUUAAGGAACUCUGCAAAAUAGCACCGUAUCUUCGGUAUAAGGUGUGGUUCGCUUCGUAUUAGGAUUUACUCCGAAAGCGAAGAAACUUACAACAAAGAGUCCCUCCCGACUGUUUACCAAAAACACAGCACUCUGCUAACUCGUAAGAGGAUGUAUAGGGUGUGACGCCUGCCCGGUGCUCGAAGGUUAAUUGAUGGGGUUAGCAUUAGCGAAGCUCUUGAUCGAAGCCCGAGUAAACGGCGGCCGUAACUAUAACGGUCCUAAGGUAGCGAAAUUCCUUGUCGGUUAAAUACCGACCUGCAUGAAUGGCGUAACGAGAUGGGAGCUGUCUCAAAGAGGGAUCCAGUGAAAUUGUAGUGGAGGUGAAAAUUCCUCCUACCCGCGGCAAGACGGAAAGACCCCGUGGACCUUUACUACAGCUUGACACUGCUAUUUGGAUAAGAAUGUGCAGGAUAGGUGGGAGGCUUUGAGUAUAUGACGCCAGUUGUAUAUGAGCCAUUGUUGAGAUACCACUCUUUCUUAUUUGGGUAGCUAACCAGCUUGAGUUAUCCUCAAGUGGGACAAUGUCUGGUGGGUAGUUUGACUGGGGCGGUCGCCUCCCAAAUAAUAACGGAGGCUUACAAAGGUUGGCUCAGAACGGUUGGAAAUCGUUCGUAGAGUAUAAAGGUAUAAGCCAGCUUAACUGCAAGACAUACAAGUCAAGCAGAGACGAAAGUCGGUCUUAGUGAUCCGGUGGUUCUGUGUGGAAGGGCCAUCGCUCAAAGGAUAAAAGGUACCCCGGGGAUAACAGGCUGAUCUCCCCCAAGAGCUCACAUCGACGGGGAGGUUUGGCACCUCGAUGUCGGCUCAUCGCAUCCUGGGGCUGGAGCAGGUCCCAAGGGUAUGGCUGUUCGCCAUUUAAAGCGGUACGCGAGCUGGGUUCAGAACGUCGUGAGACAGUUCGGUCCCUAUCUGCCGUGGGCGUAAGAAGAUUGAAGAGAUUUGACCCUAGUACGAGAGGACCGGGUUGAACAAACCACUGGUGUAGCUGUUGUUCUGCCAAGAGCAUCGCAGCGUAGCUAAGUUUGGAAAGGAUAAACGCUGAAAGCAUCUAAGCGUGAAGCCAACUCUAAGAUGAAUCUUCUCUAAGCUCUCUAGAAGACUACUAGUUUGAUAGGCUGGGUGUGUAAUGGAUGAAAGUCCUUUAGCUGACCAGUACUAAUAGAGCGUUUGGCUUAUCUUU